AAGGCCUAGUGAAGAGUCCAGAUGUAGACUUAAAGAGCUCUGGAAUCUCCUCCAAGGGUUCAGCCAGAAGCCAUCUGACUGGCUAUGACCAGUAUUGGGGACUUUAUUCUUCCAAAGGCAGUCUAUCCAAUUUUUGGACCACUCUGAUGGUGUCAGAGGCCUUCUGUAGAUUGAGCUCAAAUAACUCACUUCUAGUUGUCUUAGGUCAACAAUGUGUGGCCACAGAGAUUAAGUCAAACUCCUCUUCAUCUCUGUGCUGUUCCUGAAUUUGCCAGCCUUCCAGGUUUCUGAGUUGUUGAUAAACACCGCACAGGAGACAUGAGGACAGAACCCUUCAGUGGAGACCUGUUUGGAUAUUGCAGGGGCUUUCUGUGCCCCGCCUAUGCGUGAUUUCAGCGCUGUGGAGCCUUUAAAACAGACGUGGCCUGGACGACUGAGAAGGUUUGCUUUGACUCUGCUGCAGAGGGAAGGUCCAGAGUCUCGUAGGUCCCACUGUGUGCUGAGAAUUCCAUCUGAUGCCCUGGAUAACCCUCAAGCCUUUGCAACAGCCAGACUAAAUAAAGACUCUUGAGUGAUUCUGAA
rnacentral:lncRNA from 10 species